AUUCAGCGAGCCAGUGCUGGGGCUACAGCUUCGCUCUGGUUGCCUGGUGAGAUGAAUAAGAGCUAGUGAGAACGCUGAACAGGAGGAACCAGGACCAGGGGACAGAGCUGUCCUCUCUCCUCACCUACUCCGAGGAUAUGCCCCACUGUCAACACCAAUAGCCUGAAGGCUGUGGAAGACUGUGGUGUGCGUAUGUGGUGGAGCUGAGGAACCGGCAGGUCAGGAACGACGUCUGUGUCCUGUCACAUUUUUGUGCUAUGUGCUGUUUCUGCUCAGGUCACACAACCUGCUGGGCCACGACCAGCAGAGGGUGGAGUUUGUGUUCGUCACCAUACACCAGAGCAGACCGAACACAGUUCAGGUCUCCUAUGAAGAGGGAGGAGUUCACUCCAGGGGUGGAGACUGUGAAGAGAGACACCACCCGCCGACUCUUGCCCAGUGGCCAGAUUGCUGCCACCUGUUUGAACCUGUCAUGAAGAACUACAGGAACAUUCGGACCUGUGGGGCAGUUAUGCAGCAGACCACCCUGCAGCCGGUGGACCUGAGCCACACCACACCAAGAGGGUGUAGGGGCAGGACGACACGGUGGUGAUGCACCACCACUUGUCUGUGGCAGCUGAUCCUCUACCCCCUGCUUAUGUGUGUGCCCCCCCCCCCCUGUUUGCACUGCCCAGCUGAGCCCUGCUCACCAGUACCGCCUGCCCGGCAGAACUGUGGGCCAGCGCAGGUGGGAAGAAAGGUGUCGCCCAUUGACAACACCAUCGGAAAUGAAGCUGCAUCCUCCGUGGCAGCUCCUCCAUGCUCCGCCCUCGGGCCCUCAGCUGGUGAUGCUGGCUCCAGUGGCCCCUCAGGCCCUGGGUGUCGGCCUCUGCUCCGCCCCUCCUCCUGUUCUGGUACCGCACAACAGAUGCAAGAAGCAGUUCAGGACAGACCCAAUACAAGGCCAUUGUGUCUCUGUAGAGACAGUUCUCAAGGAGCAGGAUUGUCAACCCUCCUCCCAGAGACAUGGACACUUUCAGUUCUGUAUGUAGUCUUGUAUAUUCAUUCAUUCAUUCAUUUUCUACCGCUUAUCCUCUAGUAGGGUCGCGGGGGGGCUGGAGCCUAUCCCAGCAUCUUUUCGGGCGAGAGGCGGGGUACACCCUGGACAGGUCGCCAGUCCAUCGCAGGGCAAACACAUAGAGACAGACAACCAUUCACACUCACAGCCACACCUAUGGUCAAUUUAGAGUAUCCGAUUAGCCUAGUCCCCAUUUUUGCAUGUCCUUGGACUGUGGGAGGAAGCCGGAGAACCCGGAGAGAACCCACACUGGCACGGGGAGAACAUGCAAACUCCACACAGAAAAAUCCCACGGCCGAGCCGGGACUCGAACCCAGAACCUUCUUGCUGUGAGGCGACAGCGCUAACCACUGCACCACCGUGUAGCCCAGUCUUGUAUAUGUUCUCUGUUAUUGUCUAUAGUUUCUGUAGAGAAAAUUGUACUGUAGAAAAAUGGAAUUAAAUAUAACAUUGUUGUUACUUGUGUUUGUUACUUUCAGUUGAAUAAAAUUUGAGUGAAACUUUUA